rnacentral:ncRNA from 1 species
AAUUAAAUAGCUAUUAUCACUUGUAUAACCUCAAUAAUAUGGUUUGAGGGUGUCUACCAGGAACCGUAAAAUCCUGAUUACAAAAUUUGUUUAUGACAUUU